rnacentral:rRNA from 1 species
UUGGAGGCUUGUUUGAAUGGUUUGACGAAGUAAUUUAAAAUAUUUGAGAUUUAUUGAAAUUGAUAUAAAGGUACAGAAUCCUUUGUUAAUUAGACGGAAAGACCCCGGGAUCUUUUAUUUGCCUGGGGCAGGUGUUAGUUUUUCACUAAUAUUUUGUUCUUUUUUGGAUAAUGUUUAAGUUACCCCGGGGAUAACAGUGUAAUAAUUAAAUAGAGAUCUUAUCRAAUUAAUUGUUUGCCACCUCGAUGUUGACUUGGAUUUUCUUGGGCGCAAUAGUUUGAGUAUUAGGUCUGUUCGACCUUAAAAUCUUCAUGAGUUGAGUUAAGACCGGUGUGAGCCAGGUCGGUUCUUAUCUAUUUGUCUGACUUAUUAGUACGAAAGGACCGUAAGUCUUUUUAUUAAAUAUGUAGCCCUGUCUUAACUUUGCAAAAGUUAUUGAGAAAUAGUUUCCAUAUUUUGUGUGUUUAACUAUGGCAAUAGGAAGCUUGUUGUAUUAGCUGCAUAAAAGGGGUUUAUACUAAUUUAACAUGUAUUUAGUUAUGUUAUUAGCAGUUAGUUUUUUAUUAGAAUUGAAGUUUUUUAAGAAUGCAAUAUAAAGGGGAUAGGACACAGUGCCAGCAUCUGCGGUUAGUCUGUUUUCUUUGCUUUUUUAUGGACUAAGCUUGUAUAUUAAUAUUAAGUUUAGGUGAAAUUUACUUAUUUGUUUAUUGUAUAGUAAGUUAAAAAUAUGUAGUUUUUAAUGACAGGGAUUAGAUACCCCAUUAAUUAAUUAAUUUAUUGUGUCUUAGUGAACUAAGAUA